GGGUCAGUAGGUUGGUCAUGCCACUGGUAUGUACUGGUCUCACUGAUUCCUCCUUCCUGAUGAACUGUAAUGCCAUUAAUUUGGUGUUGCGGGGAAUUUGGACUGUUACUUUGAAAAAAUUAGAGUGUUUAAAGCAGGCAUAUGCCCGAAUACAUUAGCAUGGAAUAAUAAAAUAGGACGUGAGGUUCUAUUUUGCUGGCUUCUAGAGUCGCCGUA
rnacentral:rRNA from 1 species